rnacentral:rRNA from 1 species
GGAAUAUUGCGCAAUGGAGGAAACUCUGACGCAGUGACGCCGCGUGCAGGAAGAAGGUUUUCGGAUUGUAAACUGCUUUAGACAAGGAAGAAUCAAGACAGUACUUGUAGAAUAAGCUCCGGCUAACUACGUGCCAGCAGCCGCGGUAAUACGUAGGGAGCAAGCGUUAUCCGGAUUUAUUGGGUGUAAAGGGUGCGUAGACGGAGUAGCAAGUUGGUUGUGAAAUCCCUCGGCUCAACUGAGGAACUGCAACCAAAACUACUACCCUUGAGUGCUGGACAGGAAAGUGGAAUUCCUAGUGUAGCGGUGAAAUGCGUAGAUAUUAGGAGGAACACCAGUGGCGAAGGCGACUUUCUGGACAGUAACUGACGUUGAGGCACGAAAGUGUGGGGAGCAAACA